rnacentral:rRNA from 1 species
UGGGGAAUAUUGCACAAUGGGCGCAAGCCUGAUGCAGCCAUGCCGCGUGUAUGAAGAAGGCCUUCGGGUUGUAAAGUACUUUCAGCGGGGAGGAAGGGAGUAAAGUUAAUACCUUUGCUCACUGACGUUACCCGCAGAAGAAGCACCGGCUAACUCCGUGCCAGCAGCCGCGGUAAUACGGAGGGUGCAAGCGUUAAUCGGAAUUACUGGGCGUAAAGCGCACGCAGGCGGUCUGUCAAGUCGGAUGUGAAAUCCCCGGGCUCAACCUGGGAAAUGCAUUCGAAACUGGCAGGCUAGAGUCUUGUAGAGGGGGGUAGAAUGCCAGGUGUAGCGGUGAAAUGCGUAGAGAUCUGGAGGAAUACCGGUGGCGAAGGCGGCCCCCUGGACAAAGAAUGACGCUCAGGUGCGAAAGCGUGGGGAGCAAACAGG